UGGUGGAGUGAUUUGUCUGGUUAAUUCCGUUAAACGAACGAGACCUCAGCCUGCUAAAUAGUUACCUGUCUUUUAUAUUACGAGACUUGAUAACUUCUUAGAGGGACGUUGUGUGCAACCACAAGGAAGUUGAGGCAAUAACA
rnacentral:rRNA from 1 species